GGGAGUUUAGUUUAGUGGUAAAACGCUUCUCUCCAAAAGAAGGGUCGGGGGUUCGAUUCCCUCAACUCCUG
rnacentral:tRNA from 1 species